rnacentral:misc_RNA from 1 species
GUGCUGGGCCAACGGAGGAGAUGGUCGAGAUUGAGGGAGAUGUUUUGGCUGUAAAGAAAGCACUUGUAGUGGUUUCUCGCUGCCUUCAAGAUUGUCAACCAGUUGAUAAAACAAGGAUGAGGGGCAGUAAACCUGCUGAGGCAGUUCCUGAAGAACCUGCACCUGGAAUACAUGUAAAUUUUAUUUCACAGCGUAAUUUGGUGUUACCUACCAUGCCAAGUAGCACUACUUCUUAUGCUUCAGGGGCUCGUUCUUUGUCAUUAGAGUCUGACCUAGUGCCCUCCCUGGACGCGAACUCACUACA